AGUGGACCCACCUAACUCCAUGCCGAACUUAGAAGUGAAACGCU
rnacentral:rRNA from 1 species